UACGAAGGGUGCAAGCGUUAAUCGGAAUUACUGGGCGUAAAGGGUGCGUAGGCGGUUUUUUAAGUCUGUCGUGAAAUCCCCGGGCUCAACCUGGGAAUGGCGAUGGAUACUGGGCAGCUAGAGUGUGUCAGGGGAUGGUGGAAUUCCCGGUGUAGCGGUGAAAUGCGUAGAGAUCGGGAGGAACAUCAGUGGCGAAGGCGGCCAUCUGGGACAACACUGACGCUGAAGCACGAAAGCGUGGGGAGCAAACAGG
rnacentral:rRNA from 1 species